AUGAGCGGGGGAGGAGGGGGCGGCAACUCGAGGGAGCUCGACCAGACGCCGACAUGGGCCGUCGCCUCCGUCUGCGGCGUCAUCGUCCUCAUCUCCAUCCUCCUGGAGAUGGGCCUCCACAAAGUCGGAGAGUGGUUCGCGCACAGGAAGAAGAAGGCCAUGGUGGAAGCCCUUGAGAAGGUCAAGGCAGAGCUGAUGGUGCUGGGGUUCAUCUCGCUGCUGCUGGUGUUCGGGCAGAGCUACAUCAUAAAGAUCUGCAUCUCCGAGGCUGCCGCCGACACCAUGCUCCCAUGCCGCCUCAAGAAGGCCACCGUCGAGGUCGAGAUCGCCAAGGACGGCGGCCACGGCGCCCCCGCGGAGGAGCACGGCGCUAAGCAGCCGGAGGAGCAUUUCAGCCUCGGCACCAAUCCCUUCACCGCCACCUCCUUCAGCGUCCCCCACAGGAUGCUCAGUGAGGCCACCUCCUUCAGCGUCCCCCACAGGAUGCUUAGUGAGGCCACCUCCUUCAGCGUCCCCCACAGGAUGCUCAGUGAGGCCAACAUGAACAUCAAAUGCCCCCCGGGGAAGGUGUCCCUCAUAUCGAUAAACGCUCUGCACCAGCUGCACAUCUUCAUCUUCUUCCUGGCCGUGUUCCAUGUCUGCUACAGUGCCACCACCAUGGCACUCGGCAGAGCCAAGAUACGAGGAUGGAAAGAGUGGGAAAAAGAAGCAGUGGGCCAAGAUGAAGAAGUCACUAACGAUCCGUCGCAAUUCAGGUUUACGCACGAGACAUCGUUCGUCAGGCAGCACAUGAACGUCCUCAACAAGACCCCGGCCUCGUUUUACAUCAGCAACUUCUUCAGGCAGUUCUUCAGAUCGGUCCGGAGGGCCGACUACUGUGCGUUGCGCCACAGCUUCGUCAACGUUCAUUUGGCUCCUGGCAGCAAGUUUGAUUUCCAGAAGUACAUCAAGCGGUCUCUCGAGGACGAUUUCAAGGUCAUCGUCGGGAUCAGCCCUAUUCUGUGGGCGUCUGCACUCAUCUUCCUGCUCGUCAACAUCAACGGGAUGCACACCAUGCUCUGGAUAUCCAUCAUGCCGCUGGUGAUCAUCCUGUCGGUGGGCACGAAGCUGCAGGGGAUCAUCUGCCGGAUGGCGAUCGACAUCACGGAGCGGCACGCGGUGAUCCAGGGGAUCCCGCUGGUGCAGGUCAGCGACAGCUACUUCUGGUUCAGCCGCCCCACCUUCGUCCUCUUCCUCAUCCACUUCACGCUCUUCCAGAACGGCUUCCAGAUCAUCUACUUCCUCUGGAUCCUGUACGAGUACGGGAUGGACUCGUGCUUCAACGACUCCAAGAAGCUCGUCGUCGCGCGGCUAUGCCUCGGGGCAGUGGUGCAGGUGCUGUGCAGCUACGUGACGCUGCCACUCUACGCGCUGGUGUCGCAGAUGGGGUCAACCAUGAAGCAGUCCAUCUUCGACGACCAGACCUCCAAGGCGCUCAAGAGCUGGCGCGCCGGCGUCAAGAAGAAGCCGGCGGCCCAGUCUUCCAAGCACGGCGGGUCGCCCUCGGGGAGCCCGCGCGCCGGCAGCCCCAAGGGCGCCGACGAAGGCAGCACCGGCAUCGCGCUCACGCAGAAGCAAGGCGGGGGCGACGACGGCGCGCCAUGA
rnacentral:rRNA from 1 species